UGGGGAAUAUUGCACAAUGGGCGCAAGCCUGAUGCAGCCAUGCCGCGUGUAUGAAGAAGGCCUUAGGGUUGUAAAGUACUUUCAGCGGGGAGGAAGGCGAUAAGGUUAAUAACCUUGUCGAUUGACGUUACCCGCAGAAGAAGCACCGGCUAACUCCGUGCCAGCAGCCGCGGUAAUACGGAGGGUGCAAGCGUUAAUCGGAAUUACUGGGCGUAAAGCGCACGCAGGCGGUCUGUCAAGUCGGAUGUGAAAUCCCCGGGCUCAACCUGGGAACUGCAUUCGAAACUGGCAGGCUAGAGUCUUGUAGAGGGGGGUAGAAUUCCAGGUGUAGCGGUGAAAUGCGUAGAGAUCUGGAGGAAUACCGGUGGCGAAGGCGGCCCCCUGGACAAAGACUGACGCUCAGGUGCGAAAGCGUGGGGAGCAAACA
rnacentral:rRNA from 1 species